rnacentral:rRNA from 1 species
CCUACGGGUGGCUGCAGUGGGGAAUAUUGGACAAUGGGGGCAACCCUGAUCCAGCCAUGCCGCGUGUGUGAAGAAGGCCCUCGGGUUGUAAAGCACUUUCAGUGAGGAAGAACGCCUGGUGGUUAAUACCCAUCAGGAAAGACAUCACUCACAGAAGAAGCACCGGCUAACUCCGUGCCAGCAGCCGCGGUAAUACGGAGGGUGCGAGCGUUAAUCGGAAUUACUGGGCGUAAAGCGCGCGUAGGUGGCUUGAUAAGCCGGUUGUGAAAGCCCCGGGCUCAACCUGGGAACGGCAUCCGGAACUGUCAAGCUAGAGUGCAGGAGAGGAAGGUAGAAUUCCCGGUGUAGCGGUGAAAUGCGUAGAGAUCAGGAGGAAUACCAGUGGCGAAGGCGGCCUUCUGGACUGAAACUGACACUGAGGUGCGAAAGCGUGGGUAGCAAACAGGAUUAGAUACCCCUGUAGUC